rnacentral:rRNA from 1 species
CCCGCGAUGAAGGGAUGGGGUUUUCGCGGCCGUGGGGCGACCCACGGUCCGCGAGGGCGACCCACGGUCCGGAGGCUGCCACCCCGCGGGCGCGGUCUUUCCCGGCGUCGGAGUGACGCACUUCUCCCCCGGUAGAACGUCNCGAUCCGWCGGUCGACGGCCUAAGGCCCCUGGUGGAGCCUGUUUCNCCRCGCAUGACCCANGGGAUCCCGGCNGGGUGCCCGACGGUAUGAAGAGAGGAAGGAGUCGGCGCGCCCCCUUCGGGCGUCCAGCCCUCCGCAAGCGCUCGCGGGAGUCG